rnacentral:rRNA from 1 species
GAUGAACGCUGGCGGCGUGCCUAAUACAUGCAAGUCGAGCGAACAGACGAGGAGCUUGCUCCUCUGAUGUUAGCGGCGGACGGGUGAGUAACACGUGGAUAACCUACCUAUAAGACUGGGAUAACUUCGGGAAACCGGAGCUAAUACCGGAUAACAUGUUGAACCGCAUGGUUCAACAGUGAAAGACGGUCUUGCUGUCACUUAUAGAUGGAUCCGCGCCGCAUUAGCUAGUUGGUAAGGUAACGGCUUACCAAGGCAACGAUGCGUAGCCGACCUGAGAGGGUGAUCGGCCACACUGGAACUGAGACACGGUCCAGACUCCUACGGGAGGCAGCAGUAGGGAAUCUUCCGCAAUGGGCGAAAGCCUGACGGAGCAACGCCGCGUGUGUGAAGAAGGUCUUCGGAUCGUAAAACUCUGUUAUUAGGGAAGAACAAAUGUGUAAGUAACUAUGCACGUCUUGACGGUACCUAAUCAGAAAGCCACGGCUAACUACGUG